UACGAAGGAUCCAAGCGUUAUCCGGAAUUAUUGGGUUUAAAGGGUCCGUAGGCGGGCUAUUAAGUCAGCGGUGAAAUCUUUCGGCUUAACCGGAAGCUUGCCGUUGAAACUGGUAGUCUAGAGUCAUUGUGCAGUGGUUGGAACGUGCAGUGUAGUGGUGAAAUACAUAGAUAUUGCGCAGAACACCGAUUGUGAAGACAGAUCACUAACAAUGUACUGACGCUGAGGGACGAAAGCGUGGGGAGCAAACAGG
rnacentral:rRNA from 1 species